UGGGGAAUUUUGGACAAUGGGCGAAAGCCUGAUCCAGCAAUGCCGCGUGUGUGAAGAAGGCCUUCGGGUUGUAAAGCACUUUUGUCCGGAAAGAAAUGGCUCUGGUUAAUACCUGGGGUCGAUGACGGUACCGGAAGAAUAAGGACCGGCUAACUACGUGCCAGCAGCCGCGGUAAUACGUAGGGUCCAAGCGUUAAUCGGAAUUACUGGGCGUAAAGCGUGCGCAGGCGGUUGUGCAAGACCGAUGUGAAAUCCCCGAGCUUAACUUGGGAAUUGCAUUGGUGACUGCACGGCUAGAGUGUGUCAGAGGGGGGUAGAAUUCCACGUGUAGCAGUGAAAUGCGUAGGGAUGUGGAGGAAUACCGAUGGCGGAGGCAGCCCCCUGGGAUAACACUGACGCUCAUGCACGAAAGCGUGGGGAGCAAACAGG
rnacentral:rRNA from 1 species